GCCUGUGUAGCUCAGUGUUAGAGUGCCAGUCUCAUGAGCUGGAAGUCGGAGGUUAAAAUCCUCUCACAGGCA
rnacentral:tRNA from 1 species